GUGCAGCAGGCGCGAAACUUCACAAUGCUGGAAACAGCGAUGAGGGAUUCCAAGUGCCUAUGCAUUGCAUAGGCUGUUCAUAUACCUAAAAGUAUUUGGAGUAAGGGCUGGGUAAGACGGGUGCCAGCCGCCGCGGUAAUACCGCAGCCUAGUCGGUGAUCGAUUUUAGUUGAGGCCUAAAGCGUCCGUAGCCGGCCUAAUAAAUCCUUGAGUAAAUCGGGCGGCUCAACCGUCCGAAUUUCGAGGAGACUGUUAGGCUUGGGACCGGAGAGGUCAGAGGUACUCCAGGGGUAGGGGUGAAAUCCUGCAAUCCUUGGAGGACCACCGGUGGCGAAGGCGUCUGACUGGGGACGGCUCCGACGGUGAGGGGACGAAGCCCUGGGGCGCAAACCGGAUUAGAUACCCCCGUAGU
rnacentral:rRNA from 1 species